AGACUAGUUUCCUCUUUACUGCAGACUGCGACGCAAGGCCAUCCACUAAUCUUUGAUGCCUGCUCACUGCACAGGCCCCUUCCUCUCUCCCCGCACCUCCUCCCACAACGCCUGCAGAUCUCAGAUGCGUUUGAACUACAGUAACCCCAACCCAGCUCGCGGCAAGCAGGCAGCGCAGCAGCAGUAGCAGCAGCAACCGGGCCGCCGCCGCCGCGGGGCUAAGAGAUUACGUUCAGCAAAAACUCUUCCAGGAAAGAGGCUCGAGAGCUCCCCUCCUAUCUCGCCAAGGGUGCUGACUCUGUCGCGCCACGCCACGUACCAAAAGGCUCGCGAAGAAAAACGCGGGCGAAGUUCAGCAUCCCCGAACAGAAAGGGAACUCAUUCCAGAAAGGGGGUUCACGGGUCUGAGGGUCCUUGGGUGGGGAAAGCAGUAUUGGAGGGAGAAGACAGAAGGGAUGGCAAGACAGAGGAAACCACGGGGACAAAAAGGAAGGGAUGAGGAGCCCUCUUACUAUAAAAGGGACUGACGGACGGGAUGCAGAGCAAUGGGCCCCCCUCGAAAAAUGGACUGGCAGGCCCUUCCGCACCCCCAAACAACCUCGCACCACCUGAAAGCGGGGAGCUUGAGUUUGGGGCUGCGUAGAUCAAAGCAGGGGACCACGUGGGAGAAUUUGAAGGGCUGAUCCUGUCCCGGUGCAUUCGCAGUAGCAAUGAUGCGAGAAUUCGUUUUAACCUCGUCACUGACUGGACUAGACUGUAAACUCCUUGGCGUCUGGGAUGGCUCAGCCGUGCCCAGCACCAAGUGCAGGCACUCAAACCCCUGUGGAGUAAGUGACUGGAUGAAUGAAUGCAUUGGAACUGUUCACUGAGUAUCUGUAACAAUUUUGAUCCCAUGGUUUGGUACAAAGAAUUUUAUUGCAGUAUGAAAUUAAAUG
rnacentral:lncRNA from 1 species